rnacentral:lncRNA from 1 species
GAAGUAGGUUAACAUACAUCUAGGUGAUUUCUUGCAGUCCUUUUUUCUUUCUUUCUCUCUUUCCUUUUGCUAACUGACUUAAAUAUGGAUUUUUAAAUAUGGAUUUUGUAAUUCCAUAAGUCCAUUUUCAUUUAUUUACUGUCUAUGUGACUUGAAAAGAACAGGUGUCUGGGAUGGGCGCAUACAGAACAAGUGUCAUUGCUAGGCAGGUGACAGAGUCGGGGAAGAUGUAAAACCACUGGGCAGAGGAGGGCCAGGGUGCAGUGACGAGGCAGCUCUGCAGCUCUGCCUGCCUCCAAUGUGCUCACCCCCACACACCCUGCUACACGUGUGGCCUUUGCUCUAUCUCUCUUCUGGUCCCUGUCGCAUCACAGGCAUGUCAUCUCUGGGGAGUAUUGAGGAAUGUUUUAAUUUGCUCCAAGGAUGUUUGUCUAGUGGAUUGGUGGUGGGGUGAUUGUCUAGCCUGGCAUAGGGAAGAGUUUGGUAGUGAAUAGAUGGUAGUUAAGCACUGGGGCUUGCUUUUUAAUGGUUAGAUAUUGAACACAUUCUCCUGGGUUGAGUUCUUCCUAUCUGGAACCCCUCCCCUCCCCCUCUUCCAUCUAGAUGGGAGGUGUAACACCUGAGGCAAAGCUCAGGGGAGGAAGGGGAGAAGCCCACAUCCAGCCACCAGCCUACCCCCAAUCUAUCUGACUCAAUUUCAUGGCACCUCCUUAAGAGCACAUAUCUCUCCAUUGUUUUUUUCUCUUUCUUAAGAGGGUAUGAAGGGGUGAGGAUGGGAAGACAGGGAGGGACCUUGUUACAAAGCGUUGGGAGUGGCAGGCAGAGACUUUCUAACUCCUUCUGUAGGCACCUGGUGGGUUUAGAACAAGGGAGGGAUGGAAACUGACCUGCAAUUUAGGAGGGCCAGUUGCAGUGUGUUUCAAGUAUCAGUUGGGUGUUCUGGCACGGACCCAAAGUCCAGGCGUGGAAAAAAGACUGGCUGUUAACUUAGAAUGAAGUAAGGCAAUAGGUAUGAGACACACUUCCCAAGAUCCUCUUCUCGCUUAUAUAUUUUAUGAGGUUUCCAUAAGAACCUACUUCUCAGAAGACCUGACAUGUGGAGAGGCAGACUAGACAGGUCCCUGGGAGGCUUCAUGGCAACAGAGUGAGCGUUGCAGACAUGUCACAGUGUGAAAGGAGAAGUGGGUUGGUUGAUAGUUGGUCUCUGGUUGGAAACAGUUUACUUUUAAAGUUUAACUUCUUUUUCUUUUCUAAAUUUUAUUUUAUGUGCAUUGAUGUUUUGCCUGCAUGUAUGUCUGUGUGAGGGCAUUGGAUCCCCUGAAACCGGAAUUAUAGACAGUUGUGAUCUGCCAUUUGGGUGCUGGGAAUUAAACCCUGGACCUGUGGAAGAACAACCAGUGCUCUUAACUCUGGGCCUUCUUUCCAGUCCCUAAGUUUAACUUUUUAAAAUUUAAAUAAGUGUGUGUGUGUGUGUGUGUGUGUGUGUGUGUGUGUGUGUGUGUGUGUGUGUGUGUUAUGGCUAUAGCUGCUAGUCAGUGGAUGAAUACCCAGUUUUUUUUUAAAAAUUUCUCUACUUAUGUUAUUAUGUUAUAUUUUGCCCUUUAUCUAUGUGUAUAUUUGUGCACCAUGUGUGUGCCUGAUGCCCUUGGAGGCUAGCAGAGAUGUUGGUUCCUGUCAUGGUUUGAAUAUGCUUGGCCCAGGGAAUGGCACUAUUUGGAGGUGUGGCCUGUUGGAGUAGGUGUAUCACUGUGGGUGUGGGCUUUAAGAUCCUCACCCUAGCUACCUGGAAGUCAGUCUUCCACUAGUAGCCUUUAGAUGAAGAUGUAGAACUCUCAGCUCUUCCUCUACCGUGUCUGCCUGGAUGCUGCCAUGUUAACCUUGAUGACACUGGACUGAAUCUCUGAACCUGUAAGCCAGCCCCAGUUAAAUGUUGUCCUUUAUAAGACUUGCCUUGGUCAUGGUAUCUGUUCAUAGCAGUAAACCCUAACUAAGAUCUCUUGGAAUUGGAAUUACAAACAGUUGUGAGCUGCCAUGUGGGUUCUGGGAAUCCAUUCGGGUUCUCUGGAAGAGCAGCCAGUGCUCUUAAUGCCUGAACCUUCUCUCCAGCCACCAUGUCCAGUUCUGAUGUAGGUUCUGGGGGUCCAAACUCAGAUCCCAUGCUUUCUCUUUAAGCACAGAACCAUCUCCACAGUCCCCUCCCCCACAUUUAACUUGCCUUGGAUCUAUGUUCUUGUCGUUGCUUAUAAAUCUGCCUUGUUCUUAGCUAACAGACAUUUGGAUUGUUUCUGUUUUGUUUUAUUGCACAUGUGGUACGAACAGGCUUUGAGCAUUGUAAGAGCACUUCAAGGAAUAUCUCCACUGAAAGGAAAUCCCUCAGGGUGGAAUUGCUGUAUUCAAGAGUAGGGACAUUCUACAGUUUUGACGAGCUUUUAAAUUUCCCUAUUCAAACAUACCAAUACUCUUUUUUUUUUUCCUGAGGGACAGGGGCUGUGGAGCCAAGGAGGUAGGGUAAGGUAGAAGGAGGAGGGAGCCGACGUGAGAGGGGAAAGACGAGGCUUUGAUUAAUAUUCAGUUGUCACUCUACUGAAAUUAUUAAUUUGUGAAUAGAUGGUUCUGGAGUCUUUUAUCUCUUCAUUUCUACCCACCCCUGGCACCCCAAAAUUAUGGAGCUCAUCCUGUCCUGGAGGCUAAAACAGACAGAAAUGAAUUUGAGGAUGAAGGUGAUGACCAUUGAUAUACUUGGCCUGGGUCACAGGGAAUAGAACUGGGCGUCUCCUGGGAAGCCUGGCUUCUGAAGGACAGGGCUGACCUCACUGUGCACUCAUAGUAUCUGAGGACCAGGGAGCAGCUUGACUGGGUUGCUGGCAGGAACAUUUAGUGACUCCCCUAGAGUGGCUCAUUUUGGAACUUCACUAGUUCUAGAGUGCGGUUCCCCAGACCAGGAGCAGCCACCACCAUGGGAAAUGGUUGUUCUUGGCCUGCCUCUGGGUCUGCAGAAUCCAGAGGGGACACAGCAGAGUUGAUUUCCAGGAAAGCAUCUGUAUUCUGCCCUUUCUGGGGGGCAGAAGUGACUUAGGGACAGCACCUCCCCUCCUGUUCCAGUGAGAGAGGGCCCUUGUGGGUGUGCCAAGGUCUCCCAGGAGGUCAGCUUGCUUUUUCUCUUCUCCAUCAUGGAUGUAAUCUAUUGGGCUAAUAAAAUGCCACAGAGGCCUCAUUCUGUAGGUCCCCUGGUGGAUUCAAGAUAGAGUCUCUAAUAAGCACUUCCCACAUAUGGGGAUAAGGGAGAGCUAUGCAAAGAAGAAUAACCUAACGGACUUAGUAAUGGUGUGAGCCCUGCUUUGGAGGAGAUAAAAACCACUGUGUUCGCUAAUAGCUUUACCAUCAUAUUUUAGAGUCCAGGAAGUUACACAUAUCAAAGGUAAAUAUCUUUGUCAGGAAAGGGGCCUCUUGGGAUGCAGAGAAUAUGAGGAUAUUAGAAUUGAAAAGGGCAGCUUGAGAUGGUAAUAAAGUCGUGUCUCAUCGAGGAAUAAUAUUGAAAAAUGCUAACACAAAUGAUUGAAACUCUCCGCGGAGUUAGCACGUUAGCUCAGUAGAAUGGGCCGCAGAGACACUGUGCAGAACGGAAUUCCAGAGGUGUUCCGGGCAUGACGGAUGAACCAGGUCUUCAUGUUUCCAGCCCCUAGAGUGGGCAGACGCCACUGGAGCGUGACGCUGGAGUAUAGAGAAACUGACCCUCUGUUCAAAGUGGGCAGAGACCUUUCAUUGUGCUCUGAGAUGGGGGCACAGGCUGAGGGUAAAUGUGGGAUGGUCAACCUUCCCCACCAUAAGAGUAAGGGGAACCCCAAACCUCAUGUAGAAGAAGCCCGAGGCUAAUGGCAGGGUGAACAUUUUUGCUUCUAUAUUUCCAUGCUAUGUGGAGGGGCAGGGGUGAGAUUUCCCCUCCCCACCACCCACGUUUCUCUUAACUCUACUAAUACUAAUGAGCCACCCUGUGCUGGGCCUCCCUCCUGGAGGUGGGGAGGUGGAAAUUUGGACAGACAGCAAGAGAGCUAGAGAACAGGCAUCCUUUCCACUUCUCUGAGGUCCCCACUAGAGGUUCCUGCGUGUGGGGACGGGGUCAUGAAGAUGGCACCUUUGCCAGGCGCGCGCUCUCUCUGCAUCCUAUUUUAUCAUUUUCUUGGUAGCAUCUUCCCAUAAAAGGAACCUCUGAGUUGCCCUGAGGCCAACUGGCUACAGCUACAUCUGUGCCCACUGGAGAUACGUUGAGGGCAAGGAUGCGAGCAUGCACUGGUGAAAGUCUGAUUCACAGAAUUUUCCCUAAGCUGCAGGCGAGAAAAAAAUAAAGAUGGGUUCAAGGUGUUGUAGCAGAUGACAAAGGCUGGACAGAACACAAUUGCUUUCCCAAGUGCCUGACAUCAGGCAGGCAACAAAAAAACCGACUUUGGUAUGAGCAGCCUGGAGCUGCUGGGAGCUACUUGCUUGUGAAGCCAGUCCAGGGCCUUUCUUGUUCGCCUUGGAGGCAUUUGCAAUGAGAGGGGACAUGAUAUUGUCAGAAAGGUUUGCAAAUAACGCCGUGUGACAGUCUUUAAUAUUUGUGGGCAUCUUGACCUUGUAAGAUUGAAAAGACAGCCUUAAUGAAGCAAUCUUCUUGAGAUACACUGCUUCACGCCCCCACCCCGCAUCAAGUGACCUUUUCUUGGGAGAACAGGCUUCUUGUGCUAGCGGCUUUUCCUCCUUCUGGGCUCAUUCUUUCUGAUAGGAUUAACAGGUCCCUAGCCUCUUGCCUCUGAUGCUGUGAUUGGAGGCUGCAGUUGGUGAGCAGAAAACAACUUGCAAGAUGAAUUCCUAACUCGGGUCCUGCAGUGAUCUCGAUAGCAAGGAAGAGAUACAAGGCGGGAAAACACGGGCACCCGUGGUACACGUAGAAGCUGUUGAAACACAAGUGGUUUGCGGAGCUGUAGCUUGCCUCUCUGGAUCUGGGCAGACGCCCUUCUCUUCUCUAGCCAGUGCCUGUAAAUCCUGAAGCCCUUUCCGGCUGCAUUCCCGCAACCUGCCAGAAGGAACUGCAGCGCGGAUUGUGGAGAUGUAAUGGAGUCCUUUCCUCCCCUGGCUCUGACAUUUGUAUUCUCCUCUGUAAAAUAAUCUGGGUCAAAAACAUAGGCACAGCCUUGCUCUACCCACAUCACUUAACAAUGCCACGGUCCUGUUUCCUUUUUUUAGAAGUGAUUUUUUAAAAAAGAGAAUUAAUUCAGGGAAAUAUGUUAGUAUUGGCAGGAGCACGUGUUAGGUGGAAAAGCAAGGCACAGUGACCCUGGUGAGUGGGGCUUGAUACUUUACAAAUUAGGGUUCCUUCCCGUGGCUUCCUGUUGAGAGUUAGUGUAUCCUAGAGUCUUUAGGAAAGAACCCGCCCCCUUCCCCCCAAUAGCAGUUGAAGUGUCUCAAGGGCACCAUGUGUUUGAUACUCUGUUAUUCUUGUCUUUGCACUGGGGACCAGAGAGUCUGAGAUCAAAGGCCAGGGGCUUCUCAGACCCUUUUUGCCUUACUGAGGGUGGAGAAGGGUGAGGGAUGGGUGGGUAAGAGGUGGAUUCUGCUCUUAUGUCGAUGGCUUUUCCCCAUAAUACAGGCUUCUGUUUCUGUCUUUUCAAAUCUUUUCCCCAUUACUUUCUUGAGUUGAUAAAUCAUUACAUUUCUUGUUCUUUCUGGAAGGGUCCCCUCCCCCCAUCUAUAUUGGGGGAUUUCUGGAAAAAUAAUGAAUAGCCUAAGAGAUGAGAUCGAGUUAAUUGCCAAACAAUACAGCUAAUAUUAAGCAUUUUUAUUUCUUAGAUUAAAAUGUUUAUUGCAAGCAGUGUAUUAUGUAGAAUAUUUGGAAAUGUCUGGAGUGUGCAGACCCCCGGAUGCCUUGAUCUUUCAUUUUUUUAUUGAGUAAUUGGAAAUAAAAGAAUCUCAUUUGAUGCAUUUUGAGUUUUCAAAGAAAGAUAAUGUUCUAAAGCCAUAACCUCAAAGAACUAAGCAGUCUCUCAACUGGAGCCCAUUAUUUGAAUCUGUACUUUUAAUAGAAACAUUUAACUCAGAACUCAUUGAUCUGGAAUUUCAGCCCACUUGCUUUAAACUGCACAAUUGGUUUUUCCUAACACAUCUGUUGAAAUGUAUUGAACAUUCACUACAACCUGUCAUUAGGGAGACGUUGAAAGGCCCAGCCACGAAGCUUUUGCUAAGUCGGUUGCCUGGGGAAGUUCUGUGCUUAGCUGCUGCCCUCUGAGGAGGAGCAGGGCUACUUAACCUGAGACUGCAGAGGGGUCAGGUGAGGACCUGGCCAUUUGAUUUCUGCUUUGCUAACCGGGCCAAGCUGCUUUCAGGGCUUUGCUGGUGCUUAAGUGUUAGCUUUCCCCAGUUUCUGCAUCCUAGCUUCUCCCAGUGCCUGCUCUGAGCUCCCAUGCUUCACCGUCCUCUGUCUGUGAUGGGCAGAGACUGAGUGGGAACCACUUUCACGGCCGUCACUGUCUUCAGCGUCAUCUACAUUUCACGAUUUGUCAGGUGUCAUACUUAAACUAGCUUUUAAGCUUUCAAAAGCAAAUAAUACUCCAUAAAAGCAAGUCCUGGGUGGGGGGAGGGAGACACGUGGAUUUAGAAAUGGUGUGCCAUGAAAACCUGUACAGCUAUUGUCAGCAGAGUGACUCUUGGCUCAGAGCAUCCUAUUUGAACCCAGAAGACCACCCAUUUCCCAUCUGAUAACAUACUCAUGUUUUUUUAAAGAUUUAUUUUGUUUUAUGUACAUGAGUAUACUGUAGCUGUACAGAUGGUUGUGAGCCUUCAUGUGGUUGCUGGGAAUUGAAUUUUAGGACCUCUGCUCGCUCUGGUCAAUCCCACUCGCUCCAGCCCAAAGAUUUAUUAUUAUUAUUAUUAUUAUUAUUAUUAUAAAUAAGUACACUGUAGUUGAUUUCAGAUGUACCAGAAGAGGGUGGCAGAUCUCCUAAUGAGUGGUUGUGAGCCACCAUGUGGUUUGCUGUGAUUUGAACUCAGGACUUUUGGAAGAGCUCUUACCUGCUGAGCCAUCUCGCCAACCCAAACAUACUCACUAUAUGGAUGCGCUUGCACCAACAGCUAGGAGUGGGCAGAGGACCUGAACAUGUUGAUAGGAAUUUCCUCCAUGGACUCAAAAUCAGGCAGUGGCUUACAGGAGGAUAAUACCCAACUGCCAUUUAUGCCAGUGGCUUUAUCUGCAUGAGGCUGAGGCAGUCUCUUGGCCCCUCCACCUGGAGUAGACUUCUUGACUCUUAUCUUCAUGAGCUUGACUUUUCUGGCGACCUUCUUUGCCUGGUGAGUGGACCCCUCCCCAUAGCCCCUUAACAGAAUCUAUUUCUAUCUGCCAAUCAAACCCAGUUCUGACUGAUAUACUCUUGACAGGGUUUCUGGGAGACACAAGCUGGUGGGAUGAUUCUCAAUGGAAGACAAUAAACAUUUACAUUUUUAAUUAUAUAUUUACCAUAAGGCACACUGAGAAAAACUAUAAACAUGGUAUUACUGCUUAGAAUAACUGAAAAAUCCAUGGGCUUAAGUUUAAAAAUGUUGUUUUGAAGGAACUCAUUCAUGAAGUGAUGGUGUGGAUAUCUGUGGCUGUAGGGAGAAAUGCAAAUGGGAUGGAUCAAAGUCACUGGCCACUACCACAACUACAUGGGAAAGAAAACUCUAGAUUUGGACUUAGGGAAGUUCUCUAUACUGUCAGGGCCAGGGAUGUUAGAGUUAAGAGAGGCUGGAAGCAGCCAAAACUGGGGAAACCCUUCUGCCAUGGCUUGGGGGAAAGCCCAGGGUUUAGAGUUGAUCUGGGUUGAACUUCUCUGAGAUCUCCAGAUGACCCUUCACACAUCCUUUUGUAUAGCAUUGAGAAUCUGGUCCAGGACCAUGUAUGUUGAAUCUCAGUGGUCAAAUUCACAGUAUCUGUUGCUGUGACUGCCACUACCACUGAACUCCUUCCCUGGUAACAACUCAGCUCUGUGGGUUUCCAACCUGGUCUCUCCAGGAAUCCUUCAGGUCUCGGCACCAGAGAGAGGACUACGGAGACACUUGGCCUCGUGGAAGCAGGUGUGCAGCCUCGUCAGAAUAACGAUACCUGUUCUGGACGACAGAAGUAUCAGUCAAGCCAGAAUCUAUUUUAACGUAUGUUCAUUCUGUUGGUUCUUUUCCUGAUUAAUACACUAGCUAAAUGCUCAGUCACAAUACUACACCUUUCUCCCUGCUGCCUCCCUUCUUGACCUGAAGGUUUAGCACAUCCAGCUAAGGCAGAGCAGAGAAAGGUGCUCUGAGACCCCUCCCUCAGGCCUCCACCUUGUCCUCCUCCCCGCCCUCCUUCUUCCAUUCCCACUUCUCUUCUCUUGUCAUUGCACGUCCCCCCCACUACUCCCAUCCCCAGCUCAGGCCUUUGUGGCUUUGCUGGCCCAACAGCCAACAGUGGGAAUUACUUCAAGUGUGGGGCUCAGAGGUCAUCUUGCUCCCAACAAAGGGAUGGAUGUGGAGUGGGACACCUGUGAUGGUUUGAAUGAGAAAUGUCCCAUAAGCUCAGGUAUUCGAACACUUAGUCCUCACCUGGUGGUACUGUUUGGGGGUGGGGGUGGUGGAACUUUAGCAGGUAGAGCCUUGCUGGAGGAAGUAGUUGAUGGUGGGGGAGUGGGCUUUGAGAAUGCAUUGGUCUGUCUGUUUUGUGUUUCUGGUUGAAGGUGGGAUCUCUCAGCUCCCUGCUAUGCUGGCCAGCUGCCACGCCUCCCUGCCAUGGUAGAAUCUCCCCCAGGAACUAUAAUGCCAAAUAAACUCCCUCUCCCAUGGAUUUAUUUCCCUGAUCCUGCUGUAAUAUUUGGGACAGAAGUAACAGUUGUGGAGUGAGAGAGAGCCUUAUAUUAUCUACUAAAGGUAUCUAGGAUCAAGUACUUUUCUUAGAGUUCUCACACAAACACCUACUCUUUUAAAAAGAGAAAAAAUUGUGAGAUCUUAUUUUGACCUUUGGCGUCAAGCUAGUUAAAGGCUUUCAAGGAUGAGUGGGGUUUACAAUGGCCAUGGAACUUUCUGUCCAGUAGGCUCCUGCUCGCUGCCUUGAAAAAGUAUCCCGGCAGACGACAGUGCCAUGACGGCGAGCAUCCAAGAACACCACAGGAAAGACACAGCUGCGUCCAAAGAGCACAUUCCAAGCUUAUAAAGGCCUGAAACUGGAAAUUUCCUUCCGCUCCCAGAGCCGUCUCCUGAGCAAACAUUGUAAGUAGUCUCUGUCCUAAACUUGCCCAACAUUUGCCAUCAUAAAUUGAUGUAUGUCUGUGCCUCUACUUCUUGAUUUAUGAGCCUUAAUGGAAACUUUUAAUUUCUCUCAACCAAGAAGGAAGACUCAGAGGACAAUGGGCAUGUAUAUGAAGAAAGUUCGGGAUAAAUGUGUGUGCACGUGUGUGCGUGCGUGUGUGUGUGUGUGUGUGCGUGUGUGUGUGUGUGUGUGAGAGAGAGAGAGAGAGAGAGAGAGAGAGAGAGGCUCAAGGUACAGCUCAUUGAAUUUGUUCUUAGCUUAAAUAAAAACUAAAUAAAAGUACACUUUAGUGCUGAGUACCACUGCUUGUGGCUUGUUACUUUGCCUAUAUCUUUUAGAGGCUGUCAUCUGAGACGGUUCAUACAGAGUUCUCUCUCCCCUUCCCUUUCCCUUCCUCCCCACUCCCCUUCCCAGUCUCCGCCCCCCCCCCCACCUUAGUUCAUGUCUGUCAUAUUCAAAACAACUCGUUUUACCAAAGAUUGUUUCACUCUCAGUUCAAACAGAGACCUCCAUCCUGUCUUCACUCCGAAUGCGAAAACCUGUCGACAGCCUUCGUAAAAAGACUGUUAGGUAAUUAUCAUCCCCUUGAGCCGGCUAUGAGCUGAAGCAUAUAGCAGAAGAUUCAACCAUUUAGAAAACAAUCCCAAUCAACCUUUCAGGGCUGGGUGUGGCUCACUUGCCUAUGUGCAUGGAGCUCAGAGUUAAGUUCCUAUCGCUGAGAAACAUGAAGUAAAAGAAGCAAGACAAAAACCAAAACCAAAACAAACAAAAAUACCAUCAAGAAUUAAACCAGGACAACCAUCUCUGCUACUGAGGGAGACCUUCCCCUAAUUCUCAGCACCAGGGAAUUUUCCCCUUAAACUUUCCAUCACUUCUGUAAGCUAGUGUUCAAUGGAACGGUACAUAUGUUGUUUUAGCUCAUUGAGUUCGGCUUACUUAGCUCUUUCCACUAAGAUAUGGAAUAAAUCUUUUGGUUUUUAACUGGGAAUGUGUUUUACUCUAAUACUCGAAGUUUCCAUUAGACCAAGGAGUCGGCCCAUCACAGCUGAUGGUUUCUUCCUGUUGGGUAUGGUCACAUAGUUUUACUACAAUUACUAUUUGAUAGUGUCAAAUUUCCUGAAUAUAUUUUCCAUGUCUCUACUUUUUCUUGAUGUAUUUUAAUUCUUUCAUCCCCACCUCCAUCCCCCUCUUGACAAGGUCUCACUGUGGAGCCCUGGGUGUCCUGGAGCUCACAAAGAUCUGCCUGUCUCUCCAUCCAAGUGCUAGGAUUAAAGGCUAGUGCUACCACAGCAGCUUCGGUCACAGCACCGAAUACCUGCAUGAGUUUCUGCUUUAUAUAUCUGAGUUUACUUGAAAUGAGAACCUGUGCGAUAUAAUAAAGGCCUUGGCAAGAAAAGUCUGGUGGGUAUCCUGUGAGAUCCCAUCUGCCAGUAUCAGGAGGGCGUCAAGAAGUGGGUGUAGCUCUGCCCAGUCAAAGCAGCACUGUGGAGCCCUCACUGUUCCUGCCUGUCACAUGAUCCAAAACAGCUCUUCGAGGCAGAACUCACAGACACACACCCUGCCUUUACACCACACCCUCACCCCCAUUUCGUCCCUCUUUCCUCCUCAAGCCAACCAACCAGGCCCUUUCCAGAAGUUUCCUUCAAUUUCUGGUCCGCUACUGAGGGCAACACCUUUCCUGGUGGCCAGGGAACCGUAUGACACACUUUGGGUGUACUCAUAUAGAGACCCAUCCUUAGGAGCCAUGGGCUGGGAGUUUUUCUCUAGUGUUAGAUCUGAGAUCAAAUGCCGUGUGUAACCCCUUCCCACAGAGCGUAUCAGGUGCACCUAUAGACUGAUUUUUAAGGUAACUAAUAUGUGUUGGUGUCGAGAUGCCUAAUUAGCAGGAGGAAGAUGCUGCUGCUGCACAUUCUUUGGCUAAUUAGAUCUGCUAUGAAAUCAUUCACUUGAUGACCACCUUAAUGAAGCCAAUAAAGACCUCUUUUGAGGCAGCCUAUUCUCCCUACCUGAAGCGCCGCACCUCGCUCAGCUACACGGGCACCAGCACGAACAGACUCAUUAUCUCCCCAAUUCUGAUGUCUGUGUUCACGCUCUGUUGGUUUCAUUAGAUACAAAAUAAAAUCGCUACCUAUUAAAAUUGCAUUAAAGCACUAACUUUAACCGCCAAAAGCUCAGGAUCUUAGAGCCUAAGCUGCCAUUGAGCCUCCUGGGCGUGGGAAACGCCUGCAGUUUGCAGACUGCACGGAUCGGGCCCCACCUAGACCUUAGAGCAGACCCUGAUUGCUUUCCCUCAGCUGAACAGAACCGGUGGUGAGAAGACAGGGCUUUGGCUGUUGUUUCAGCGGAUAUCGAUUUCCAGAAUGCAAGGAUUGGGGGAAAGAUAAUUUUUACAACUGUAAGGCAGUGUUUUCCUAAAAGAGCCACUUCCUCUGUUGAUAGCUUAAGGAUGCGUCUAAAAAGGCAAUUGAGCUUCUAGGAGCCUGUCAGAUCGAAGGCAUCACCCACACCGA